rnacentral:rRNA from 1 species
AUGCCGCCUAGCUCAAGUCGCGGGUCAUGGGGCAGCGGGCGGAUGGGUCAUGGCUACCGACGUACUGAUGAUGCAGUUCACCCUGCCGCCGCGGCGACGGAGAGCUCCUGUAUGCCGAGGCCGCCCACGCCCAUGUCCGGCCACUCGCCCUCCUCGUCCGCCGCACACCACAGUUGGGCGCCGACAUCGACCGCGACGGCUUCUUGUGCCUCCUCUUCAGCAGUGGCAGCCCCAACUCCACUUUUCUGCUCGAGGCCGCCGACAGGGGCAGUUCGCCGUGCUGCUCUCCUCCGGCGGAUAUGA